CCCUAAGCCCUAAAAGUCUAAAAUCACGCCUCUCUCUUCUCACUUCUCUCAGUCUCUCGCCUAAGCUUUCUCGCCGUCGCCCACUCGCCCAUCUGCUGCCUCGGUGCCGCCAACUGCUUAGGUGCGGCCGCCCCCAAGUCCCAACUGCUCUCCGCCUCACACAGCCCCCAAUCUCGGUCUUGAUCUAUCCCUUCUAUGAUCUCUCACAAGCCGCAGACUCGCAAAUCGCAACACUGCCAACACACGAACACUCUCGGCUCUCUCGGAUUCUCGCCUUCUCGGUGCUACGGUGACUCACAGAAAUUAUGUCUAAUUCCCUCACAUUUGAUGCGAAUUAAGGCUUAAUGGAUGAACUUUGCGGAGUAAUGUUUUGUUUAAAGUAUUUGGAAGCAGAUUUAAGGAAUUGAAGAUAAUCUAUGUUGGAGGUGGCUCAAGGAAAUUGUUGUGUAACCGUGUUGAUGUUGAUGUUUAUCCAUAUUGAUCACUAUCUUUAUGUUUUCUCGCUUUCAUAUUUGUGUAAUGGUGUUGCCCAUGACUUUUUUUUCUUUUGCUAAGUGACUUUAAUUAGUUAAUACUUUGUUUAUUAUUCAUUAAUGAAUUUUAUUUUAAUUUGGGUU